UAUUAUUUAUGAUGAUUUGAAUUCCUGUGCAUAGUUCAACUGACACAAUGUUUAUUCAUUAUAAUGAAGAUAUUAAUUCAUCCAUCGAAUUUAGUCUUUCGCUCCUAUCUGAAAAUGUAA